AGCGGGGACGCGCCCUCUUGGCAAUCACUUUCCACCAGCCCGUCCCCAGGAGCACCACUCGGGCUCAGCGGUUAAUCUGUCGACAGCCAGGGGAAUGAACAUACUGAGUCAUCUGCCUCCUUUUCAACCAAGACGGAUUUCUGGGAAUGUGAAGAACACUGAAGCGACGUGACAUUCCUUAGCUUGUAGCAGGAAGGCAACUCCCCGCUUCCUUUCUAGACGGGUUGCCUCAUCUUUCUGAACAGGACGAAACAGAGUUCCUUGAAACUUACAUGCCUCUGGGAAAGAGAGGCAGGAGAGCGCGGCCCGGCACCACCCCUCCCUUUGUGGGGCCGCUCGGUUACCCUGCCCCAGAGGAAGGGUGGGCAAGCACUGUCACCUCCGCCGUCCCGCCUUCGCCUGGGUGAGAAAGAUGCACAUGAUGUGCACCCCAUGCCCACCGUGCGCACGGUCAUGGGCACUGGUCAAAGCACAGUCGCUACACGUGUUCGGGGCAUCUAGGGACACAUCAGCCCUGGUGAGGGGCAUGGCAGCCGGUUCCAGGCUCCGUCCUUUUCAGAAUAAGUCACAGGACAGGAAAGAAGCAAGUGUGAAAGUAAGAAAAAGGAAGGAAUGUGUGUGUUCAAGGACUCACGGAAGAGAGACCUUCCAGAAGACAGUCAACUGCGUCGGCUACUCUGAAAGACCCAACAGGAUGAAGACCAAGAGAAAGAAAGGAGGAAGCCACCGAUGACCUCGCCUUUCUUUGGGGAAACGUUUAUUUAUCACCGUUUAUCUCCAGCCACCUUUGUCUCUCAGCCCAGACCCACAUUUUCCAUGGCCUCCUCCUGAACAUCAUUGCCUUGCUAUUCCUUGGCUAGUUCAAGCUUAGCAUACCCCAAACAGAGCUCCACCCCUUCACUCCAGCCCCCCCAGCCCCUGAUCAGACAGACAGACACCAGACUCAUUCACCUGUUUUCUCCAUCCUCCUUGGUUACGUCACCAUCCACCCUCAUCCACUGAGUAUCAUUCCAGAAUCUUCCCUUCCUCUCCCGGUGCACAUUUAGAUGACCCUUUAAAUAUCUCUUUGGCUAAUCUCUCCUCUCUAACCUCGAGGCUACAGCCUUAGGCCUUCCUCGUCUCUUAUCUAGACCAGCUCACCACCACCUUACCCCUGGUCCUCCCACUCUUAACCCGCCCUCCACACCUUCACAGACUCUGAAUGCCUUUGGACCAUUUGACUGACACAU